GUUUUGGCAUAGUCAUUCUUCAACUCUUGUCAGGGCAAAAAGUCAUUGAAUUGGAUCUUGAUGCCAGAGACCAACUCACCAGAAAGGCAAGGGAUGUCAGUUUGGGAAAGCGUCCAGUAACAGAUUUUGAAGAUCCAAGGUUAGAUGGGAAGGUCAACAGGGCAGAUUUUGAUGCUCUCUUGCAGAUUGCAGUCCUGUGUGUUGCAAAAUCAAGCAAAGGGCGUCCGACCAUUGAUGUUCUCUUUGAAGAGA
rnacentral:misc_RNA from 1 species